CCCGCUGAACUUAAGCAUAUCAAUAAGCGGAGGAAAAGAAACUAACAAGGAUUCCCCUAGUAACUGCGAGUGAAGCGGGAAAAGCUCAAAUUUAAAAUCUGGUGGUCUUUGGCCAUCCGAGUUGUAAUUUAGAGAAGCGUCUUCCGCGCUGGACCGUGCACAAGUCUCCUGGAAUGGAGCGUCAUAGAGGGUGAGAAUCCCGUCUUUGGCACGGACACACCGGGGCUUUUGUGAUGCGCUCUCGAAGAGUCGAGUUGUUUGGGAAUGCAGCUCAAAAUGGGUGGUGAACUCCAUCUAAAGCUAAAUAUUGGCGAGAGACCGAUAGCGAACAAGUACCGUGAGGGAAAGAUGAAAAGCACUUUGGAAAGAGAGUGAAACAGUACGUGAAAUUGUUGAAAGGGAAACGCUUGAAGUCAGUCGCGUCGACCGAGACUCAGCCCUGCCUUGGCUUGGCGUACUUCUCGGCCGACGGGUCAGCAUCAAUUUUGCCCCUUGGAUAAUGGCGAGAGAAAUGUGACACCUUUAUGGUGUGUUAUAGUCUUUCGUCGCAUGCAAGGGUCGGGAUUGAGGAACUCAGCACGCGCCUUUGGGUGUCGGGGCAUUGCCCACGAUACGUGCUUAGGAUGUUGGCGUAAUGGCUUUAAACGACCCGUCUUGAAACAC
rnacentral:rRNA from 1 species